rnacentral:rRNA from 1 species
AGUGAACGCUGGCGGUAGGCCUAACACAUGCAAGUCGAACGGCAGCACAGUAAGCGCUUGCUCUUACGGGUGGCGAGUGGCGGACGGGUGAGGAAUACAUCGGAAUCUACUUUUUCGUGGGGGAUAACGUAGGGAAACUUACGCUAAUACCGCAUACGACCUACGGGUGAAAGCAGGGGAGCUUCGGACCUUGCGCGAUUGAAUGAGCCGAUGUCGGAUUAGCUAGUUGGCGGGGUAAAGGCCCACCAAGCCGACGAUCCGUAGCUGGUCUGAGAGGAUGAUCAGCAACACUGGAACUGAGACACGGUCCAGACUCCUAGGGGAGGCAGCAGUGGGGAAUAUUGGACAAUGGGCGCAAGCCUGAUCCAGCCAUACCGCGUGGGUGAAGAAGGCCUUCGGGUUGUAAAGCCCUUUUGUUGGGAAAGAAAAGCAGCAGGGUAAUACCCCGCUGUUCUGACGGUACCCAAAGAAUAAGCAACGGCUAACUUCGUG